UACGAGUGGGUGGUUUCUCCGACGCAGC
rnacentral:sRNA from 1 species